rnacentral:lncRNA from 1 species
GGGGGCUUAGGGUCUAGUUCUGUCGGUGCAAUGGGGUAUGGAGGCUUGCAGUCCUUGAGCUUGUCCAUGAGCCCUGGCUCUCCACAGCUCCACAGCAGAUAAUCCGAGUCCAAACCGUUGCACUAAGAUUGCAUUGGCGCAUGCGAGCUGGCCAAAGACUCAUCUUGGUCCCUUCUUAAGAAUUAAGGCCCAAGCAAGAGAAAGGAGACUGGACCUAACCCGUGCCCCACUCAUCUUGGAUUGGACGUUGCUUCCGGGUUCAGGCGCGUAGCAGAUUGGGUGGGGU